rnacentral:siRNA from 1 species
UUAAGAAGUGUUAAUGGUGAGUC